UUCGACUACAACCACUCCAACAACUACAACUGCUACAACUACCACCACCACCACCACGCCAACAACUACUACUACAAACUCUCCAAGUCCUGUAACAACUGCAGGGUCGACAACUCCUUCCGUCUGUCGGAAUGGCACACUGGCUAUUCCAUUGUUAUUCCAAUGCUUCAAUUUUCAAGAUUUCACGAGCUUGACGACAGAUGACGAUAAAUGCACGUACCUGGGCACUGUAGGUAAUUGUCUUGAGGGAAAGCUAGAGACAACCUACAACGUCACAUGUUCCUAUAGUGACCAACUCGUCAUCAUUGGUUCUUUUGCAUCCAUAGUUACGUCAGCGCUCAAUUUUGACUUAAUCACAGUAUGUAACUUUCAGAAGCGCUGAUGAAACAGUGAUCACGUGAUUACAUGAUGACGUGUUGAGUCACGUGUCAGAGACCAUAGACGUUACAUGCUUCUGAUCUGACCCCCGAUUGUAAUGAAGCAUUCACUUCCGGUACAUGUUGAUGAUGCGUGAAGCCACAUCCUGUUUCAGUGCAAUGGAUUUUCAUAAACUACAGUCCCUCGCUAUGUGUGACUUUCUGUUGUAAUUUGUCAUCAAUGUUCAACCCUCAAUGAUGAAAUUGGUCGGUGAUUAUAUGAGCCACAAGCUUAUGGAUGGAAAGCAAAAUUACAGUACAAUACAACGUACCGACAAGAUUCCACCGCCAUGCUGGAGAAGUUUCAUAGAUUUUUUUUGUGACGUUGGAUAUCUACCAUUGGGAAUGAACAACUAUAAAACUUCAUUAUGUAGGUAGUUGUAGUGUUGGUGUAAGAAACACUUAAUUCAAUCGGCUGUUACCGUAAAAAAAAAUUGGAAGACGAGGCUCCUUCUAACUGCUCGCAAUAUACCUUUUCUUACUCUUAGAUUUUCUCCUGGAAAAAUAUCAGGCUCGUAGGUACGUUUUGGACUGGUUCAGGACAGCGAAAAAUUACCAAUUGCAAGGCUGAUAGUCGGUUGUGUAUGUGCUUUGAAGAUUAUCAAAGAACUACUCAAAGAUUAGAGCUGGACAAUGUUACCAUUAUGAUGAUUUACCAUUCACCUUUAUCUGUAAUCAAAGCAUUACUCUGAGAUGUAGCAGGUAUGCAAGAUUCAGAUACUCUAGGCAAACUCGUAAUAUCCCCACAAGAUGGUGCAUACAGGGACCUCUAAUUUUUUCAUAAUAAACGUCUAAGUGUGUAUCUCGUGAAAUCUAUGUUAUAUUAAGUAUCAUUCAACAUUCUGAUGGUCUGUGACACAUGUGGAAGUUAUACCAGUAGGUCUGCAAUAUCAAAGCAAGUUAUUGCAUUUAAGUGACUACCUCAAAAGUAACUGGAUCACGUGAAAUACAGGUUAUAUGUCGUGUCUACCUCCAAAAGGAUACACUAUGAAAUCAAUAGUUUUCGUGGGUUUUUUUAAUUUCGUUGUUAUCGUUGGUAAUCUUCAUCCGCGAAUUCAAAGGUCCACGAAGAAAAUACAAGUUUGAUAUUAGCAAUUCUCCGUUUGAGCGAGAACUCGUAACCCACGAAUUCAUGUACUCUCGAAAUUGUGUUUUGUCUGGAAACAACAAAACAUAUUCCCCCACGAAAAUAUCUGAUUUCAUAGUAGAUUGCGUGAAAUAUCGGGUAUAUGUAGUAAGUCAUUACAAGUCAUGUACGUCAACAAUAUUUUGAUCAAGUGUAAUAUAUGUGAAAUGUAGUAAGUGUACUAACUCAAAUAAUAAUUCAGGCAUUUAUACUGGAGUACAUUGUACUAUGGAACUGUAACUGGUACACUUAGUUUAUGCAUGAAUGAAAUUAUUGGAUCUAAGAUUAACGAUGUAUUGAUAUUUUCAUAAGUUAAUAAAAUAUUGUUUCGGAAAUGAAGUGUAUGUAGUAUGUUAA